rnacentral:rRNA from 1 species
UGAAAACUUAAAACUUAAAAGACUUGACGGUACUUCACACCAACCUAGAGGAGCCUGUCCAAUAACCGAUAAUCCACGAUUAACCCAACCUAACCUAGCCUAGCCCACCACAGCUACAGUCUAUAUACCGCCGUCGCCAGCCUACCUUGUAAAAGCACAACAGUAAACACAACAGCAUGCACUAAUACGACAGGUCGAGGUGUAACUUAUGGUUAGGCACAAGAUGGGCUACAUUUUCUAACCCAGAACACAACGGAUAAACCUUGAAAUAGGAAACUGAAGGAGGAUUUAGCAGUAAGAUAAGAACAAAAUACUUACCCGAAAUUCGCAAUGAAGUGCGU